rnacentral:rRNA from 1 species
UACAGGGGGGGCAAGCGUUGUUCGGAAUUACUGGGCGUAAAGGGCCAGUAGGCGGCCAACUAAGUCACACGUGAAAUCCCCAGGCUUAACCUGGGAACUGCGUGUGAUACUGGAUGGCUUGAAUCCGGGAGAGGGAUGCAGAAUUCCAGGUGUAGCGGUGAAAUGCGUAGAUAUCUGGAGGAAUACCGGUGGCGAAGGCGGCAUCCUGGACCGGCAUUGACGCUGAGGAGCGAAAGCCAGGGGAGCAAACGGG